rnacentral:lncRNA from 1 species
GUAAGUUUCAUAAGAGGGAAAGUCUUGUUCAACAUUGCCUUCAAUAGCCUGAAACAGUGACUGGAAAUAGAAGAUCUUCAACGCAUGAGUGAAUGAAUUAAAGAAUAACUCUACAGGACUACUGUAUGCAGUAAUAGAGACUCUAGCUGACGUCACUGGAAUAUUUGCUCAGAUUUAUGCCUCAAGGAGAUAGGUGUACAUCUUCUGUUUCAUCACUGAUGGUUUCAAGGCACUAGAGUUGUCUUCCCAACAAUCUGGGAUAAGUGCUGUUCACGAGGAGUUGCUGGCUCAGCAGGCCUCUUUGUCUCUGUGCUCAUGACAAGGACAUAUCACCUAACUCUGGGCUCUGGCUCACUUAGUAGCUUCUUUGCCGUUGGACUCUCACACCGAGAUGUCACCGAGCAGCAGCCUUUCCCAGGAAGUUGUUAAGGAGAUGGGAAUCCUCAUGCCUGCUGCUUUUUCCCAAAUCAGAGGAAGCCCGGGAGCCAGUUGCAGUAAAGUCUUGCCAGUAACGUUUCUCUUAAGAACGAGAAAGCUACUCAAAGAAAUGAUCUCUUCCUGGAUGUUGUGGUCCACGAAUAUUAUGUCUGGAACAUCAGAGCCAUCUUGUCUCCAUGAUGGGAGUUCCAUCUAAAGACAAAGUCAAAACCCAGCAGAGGACACAGCUGAAGGAACACGAGAAAGUGGCAUGGAAACGCUGAAGCCCCAGCACCGGCAGACCUCAGUUAUUGGGGCCAAUCAACCUCUUGUUACUGUUCAAGCGAGUUUGGAAACGUUGUCAGAGACCCACAACAGAAAACAACUCAAACAGCUCAUACCUAAAGACUCCUACAUGGCUUUGAUGACAUAAAGAGUUUGUAGAGUGAAGACAGAAAUGGUGAAUGAAUAAACAAUUUGGGCUUGAAUGUAAUGACCAAAAGAAGUCCAGGAGAGUUUCAGGGAACCAACUUGCAGCUACAUCCACAAUUCCUCAACACUGGAACAACAUGCUUAUGACCUUUCCUUUUCACAGCAACAGUGACGUGUUUGGUUUGUAACAGUUUCUGAACCACUGAAGUACUUUUCAACUUUCUCCCUUGGAAAAGCUGGCAUCUUGCCUGAAAUCCUUGGUGUGGUCUAGCAUUGCUUUUGUUUUAAUCACAUUCCAGUGAGAAACAGCCACUUAGCCAAAUUUACAUCAGCACUUCCUAUGGUAGCUAUUGGAAACAGCACGGGCAAAAAUGUUGCUAUCUACUGCAUUCAUUGGACUCUG